GUCAGGAUGGCCGAGCGGUCUAAGGCGCCAGACUCAAGGUAUGACCUUACUCGUCUAUGACGGGUCGAGAGAGAGCGUUCUGGUCCUCUCUGAGGGCGCGGGUUCGAAUCCCGCUUCUGACA
rnacentral:tRNA from 1 species